rnacentral:rRNA from 1 species
CGGUUAAAAAGCUCGUAGUUGGAUUUCUUCUCUUGUCAGCCGGUCCUCACUUCGUGAGAGUAUCUGGUCAGACUCGAGAAUCCUCUCGGGGAACAUCGUUGCGCUUGAUUGCGUGACAUGGGUGCCGAGACUUUUACUUUGAGGAAAUUGGAGUGUUCACGGCAGGCAAUCGCCUUGUACACAUUAGCAUGGAAUAAUAAUAUAGGAUCUCGAUUCUAUUUUGUUGGUUUCUAGAAUCUUGAUAAUGAUUAAUAGGGACAAUUGGGGGCAUUCGUAUUAACACGUCAGAGGUGGAAUUCUUGGAUUGUGUUACGACGAACUACUGCGAAAGCAUUUGCCAAGGAUGUUUUCAUUGAUCAAGAACGAAAGUAUGGGGAUCGAAGACGAUUAGAUACCGUCGUAGUCUAUACCGUAAACUAUGCCAACUAGAGAUGGGGCGUCGUUUCUUAUAUGACUCGCUCCGCACCUUAUGUGAAAACAAAGUUUUUGGGUUCCGGGGGGAGUAUAGUCGCAAGGCCGAAACUUAAAGGAAUUGACGGAAGGGCACCACCAGGAGUGGAGCCUGCGGCUUAAUUUGACUCAACACGGGAAAACUCACUAGGUCCAGACAUAGGAAGGAUUGACAGAUUGAUAGCUCUUACUUGAUUCUAUGGGUGGUGGUGCAUGGCCCGUUCUCAGUGGGUGGAGUGAUUUGUCUGGU